rnacentral:tRNA from 1 species
AAAAAAUUAGUUAAUAAAUAACAAUAAAUUGUCAAUUUAUAAUAAAUAUAUUUAUUUAUAUUAUUUUUUA